GCGGACGUGGCGGAAUGGUAGACGCAGGGGACUUAAAAUCCCUUGAGCUAAGCUCGUGCGGGUUCGAGUCCCGCCGUCCGCACCA
rnacentral:tRNA from 1 species